CACGUGGGUAACCUGCCCAUCAGAAGGGGAUAACACUUGGAAACAGGUGCUAAUACCGUAUAACAAUCAAAACCGCAUGGUUUUGAUUUGAAAGGCGCUUUCGGGUGUCGCUGAUGGAUGGACCCGCGGUGCAUUAGCUAGUUGGUGAGGUAACGGCUCACCAAGGCCACGAUGCAUAGCCGACCUGAGAGGGUGAUCGGCCACAUUGGGACUGAGACACGGCCCAAACUCCUACGGGAGGCAGCAGUAGGGAAUCUUCGGCAAUGGACGAAAGUCUGACCGAGCAACGCCGCGUGAGUGAAGAAGGUUUUCGGAUCGUAAAACUCUGUUGUUAGAGAAGAACAAGGAUGAGAGUAACUGUUCAUCCCUUGACGGUAUCUAACCAGAAAGCCACGGCUAACUACGUGCCAGCAGCCGCGGUAAUACGUAGGUGGCAAGCGUUGUCCGGAUUUAUUGGGCGUAAAGCGAGCGCAGGCGGUUUCUUAAGUCUGAUGUGAAAGCCCCCGGCUCAACCGGGGAGGGUCAUUGGAAACUGGGAGACUUGAGUGCAGAAGAGGAGAGUGGAAUUCCAUGUGUAGCGGUGAAAUGCGUAGAUAUAUGGAGGAACACCAGUGGCGAAGGCGGCUCUCUGGUCUGUAACUGACGCUGAGGCUCGAAAGCGUGGGGAGCAAACAGGAUUAGAUACCCUGGUAGUCCACGCCG
rnacentral:rRNA from 1 species